rnacentral:rRNA from 1 species
CAGUCGCCGCGGUAAUACGUAGGGUGCAAGCGUUAAUCGGAAUUACUAGGCGUAAAGCGUGCGUAGGUGGUGGUUUAAGUCCGUUGUGAAAGCCCUGGGCUCAACCUGGGAAUUGCAGUGGAUACUGGGUCACUAGAGUGUGGUAGAGGAUAGUGGAAUUUCCGGUGUAGCAGUGAAAUGCGUAGAGAUCGGAAGGAACAUCUGUGGCGAAGGCGACUAUCUGGGCCAACACUGACACUGAGGCACGAAAGCGUGGGGAGCAAACAGGAUUAGAGACCCGAGUAGUCCCUGUCUCUUAUAC